GAUGAACGCUGGCGGCGUGCCUAAUACAUGCAAGUCGAGCGAACAGAUGAGGAGCUUGCUCCUCUGACGUUAGCGGCGGACGGGUGAGUAACACGUGGAUAACCUACCUAUAAGACUGGGUUAACUUCGGGAAACCGGAGCUAAUACCGGAUAAUAUAUUGAACCGCAUGGUUCAAUAGUGAAAGACGGUUUUGCUGUCACUUAUAGAUGGAUCCGCGCCGCAUUAGCUAGUUGGUAAGGUAACGGCUUACCAAGGCAACGAUGCGUAGCCGACCUGAGAGGGUGAUCGGCCACACUGGAACUGAGACACGGUCCAGACUCCUACGGGAGACAGCAGUAGGGAAUCUUCCGCAAUGGGCGAAAGCCUGACGGAGCAACGCCGCGUGAGUGAUGAAGGUCUUCGGAUCGUAAAACUCUGUUAUUAGGGAAGAACAAAUGUGUAAGUAACUAUGCACGUCUUGACGGUACCUAAUCAGAAAGCCACGGCUAACUACGUG
rnacentral:rRNA from 1 species